UAUAAUUUGAAAAUUGAAUAC
rnacentral:piRNA from 1 species